rnacentral:rRNA from 1 species
UUAAAUGUAAAUUAAAAAACUAAGUGAUUAAUAGUUAAGUUCUUUAAAGCUAAAUGAUUUGGCGGUAUUUUAUACUUUUCAGAGGAACCUGUUCUUUAAUUGAUACUCCACGAUUGAAUUAACUUAAAUUAGAAAUUUUUAUAUCGUUGUUAUUAAAUAUUUUUAUAGGAUUAAAUAUUUAAGAUUUCUUAAAAAAGAAAAAAAUCAGAUCAAGGUGAAGUUUAUAUUUAAGAUGAAAUGGGUUACAUUAAAUUAAAUUUAUGGAUUUAAAAUUUUUAAAGUUUAUUAAAAUUGGAUUUGAAAGUAAUUAGUUAUACAUUUUUAUAAUGAUAAAGCACUAAAAUAUGU